UAACCUGCCCAAGAGAUCGGGAUAACACCUGGAAACAGAUGCUAAUACCGGAUAACAACAGAUGAUGCCUAUCAACUGUUUAAAAGAUGGUUCUGCUAUCACUCUUGGAUGGACCUGCGGUGCAUUAGCUAGUUGGUAGGGUAACGGCUUACCAAGGCGAUGAUGCAUAGCCGAGUUGAGAGACUGAUCGGCCACAUUGGGACUGAGACACGGCCCAAACUCCUACGGGAGGCAGCAGCC
rnacentral:rRNA from 1 species